rnacentral:rRNA from 1 species
CGUAUCACCCAAGACAACUUUGCGGAGUUGACGAUUGACGGAGCGAAGCGACGUCAAAGCGUUCAUUAAAGUCGAGUUGGCUUAGGGAUACGUUCGUUGGGUAGGGGAGCGUUCUGUAAGCCUGUGAAGGUGGCCUGUGAGGGUUGCUGGAGGUAUCAGAAGUGCGAAUGCUGACAUAAGUAACGAUAAAGCGGGUGAAAAGCCCGCUCGCCGGAAGACCAAGGGUUCCUGUCCAACGUUAAUCGGGGCAGGGUGAGUCGACCCCUAAGGCGAGGCCGAAAGGCGUAGUCGAUGGGAAACGGGUUAAUAUUCCCGUACUUGGUGUUACUGCGAAGGGGGGACGGAGAAGGCUAUGUUGGCCGGGCGACGGUU